rnacentral:tRNA from 1 species
UCCGUGGCGGUCCGCGGCCUCCGGCAGGGCGGUUCAAGGCCGCUCCGGCGGGGCGGUUCGCGGCCGCUCGGCGAAA